AAAAUCUCGUAGUUGGACUUUGGGAUGAGCUGGCCUGUCCGCCCUAGGUGUGCACCGAUCGUCUUGUCCCUUCUGUCGGCGAUGCGCUCCUGGCCUUAAUUGUCCGGGUCGUGCCUCCACCGCUGUUACUUUGAAUAAAUUAGAGUGCUCUAAGCAAGCCUACGCUCUGUAUACAUUAGCAUGGGAUAACAUUAUAGGAUUUCGGUCCUAUUACGUUGGCCUGCGGGAUUGGAGUAAUGAUUAACAAAGAUAGUCGGGGGCAUUCGUAUUUCAUAGUAAGAGGUGAAAUUCUUUGAUUUAUGAAAGACGAACAAAUGCGAAAUCAUUUGUCAAGGAUAUUUUCAUUAAUCAAAAAUGAAUGUUGGGGGCUCGAAGACAAUCAGAUACCGUCCUAGUCUUGCAAAAAUCAAACCU
rnacentral:ncRNA from 1 species